CGAAGGGUCUCUGCUCCGGCCGCCCGGCGCUCUGCGUCCUCCCUUUCUCCCCGGGAUGCACGCGCAGGCAUCCUGAGAGCUGCUGACCUGAGCUCCUCUGAUGCAGACGUGACCCGAAGGGGAGCCCCGCAGCCCGCCGCCGACCCGCGGCCGCACUCCGUCCUCCAAGCUUGCCCAGAGGUGACUGUGUGGAUCGCAGGGCCCUUCUUCCGAGACUGGUGUUGAAAUCUCAUCAGCACCACCCGCAUGGUUGAGCUCACAGCAUAGAAUCCCUUUCUAUACAAAGUAUUAUGAAAUCAAC
ensembl:lncRNA